rnacentral:lncRNA from 7 species
UGUGGCGGAACCGCCCGAAUUAUUCCAGCUUAAGUGCCCAAGUCGCACCCUUAAGGGCAGCAACACACUUAAACAGGAAUAACCCGUCAGUCCCUCGGAUCUAGUCCGAUAAAGCCACUUAUCCAGGAUCGAAUACCACUAGCUCACUCGAAGAUGAGGCACAGAGAAAGACAAUAAAGCAUAAUACCACAAAUUUAAUAAGUAUCAAUAGUGAUUGCAUUAUCGGAGUUUCAGAAAUAAUAACCAUAAAUUUUGAUGCAGCGGAAAUAACUAACGGAGAAGAACCGAGUAACAUGGCGAAGCCUGGCCACACUACUCCUCCUGGUCCUCUCCUGCGGAAGCAGUAACCCACUCGACCAUCUAUCCCGGUGGCAGGGAUGAAGGCCAAGUCGCACCAUCAACCAAUCAUCCUAAGGAGUACCUGCAAAAAUUGUGCCACAAGCAAGGCUGAGUAUACUAAUACUCAGCUAGACUUACCCGGUGUGAGGAGUCUACUCCUCUACCUCUAGACAUGCAGCUGUUUGGCUGAGGGGGUUGGUUUGCCAAAAGCACUAGCUAAGUCUAAAAACAAGUUUUAGCUUUUCAAGUUUUAGUAGAAUCCUUUAGACUAGAUGUGUACCUAGCUAAUCAUACAUGGUAUCAAACAUUUUUACCAAUCAACAUCUUUUCUCAGUCACCUCAUUUCCACUUAUUACUCAAUGCAGUACAAUGGAUCAAGCAGUCUCAUUAGCUGCGAGAAGCAGACGAUUCGAAUCGAGUUUUUAUCCUUGCAAGGUAAACCUAAACACACGACAUGUAGGGGCACUCCGUCCCCACACACAUCAACCGUCCCCAUCGAUUCCCCGUCAGCAGAUCAGGGCUCACCGCCUUGGCGUACAAUGCCUCACUGACCCCGACUGGCCAUCGUGCAGUGACCGCACUUGUACCCACCAUAACCGGAAUGGGAGACCUCGUCUCAGGACGCGUGAGGGGAUAUGUCCACUGCCAGGUUCACUCAGGUACUAGGCUUGCCGAUUUACCAUAUUUCUCGGCAUAUGUUUAGUACAUUCAAACGCUUGACACAGGUAUCCGCACGUUAAUCCUUAUUCCAAUUUCAUCUCGUAGACCACGCAUCCCCAUGGAUCCGUGUCCACAGACCAACAUCAGUAUGAUAUGAAAGUGGGUACAAUCAAUGUCCUGACCUCGCGCGAGUGCUAGAAAAAUCACUCGACUUCUAUCGAGAUCCCUAUUUAAUAAAGCAGCUACUCGACCUAGCAUACUAGUAUUCAUCUCAAUAGGAAUCCUGAGUUCAUGCAACUAAGGUUCCAGUCAACUCCUACACUUAAGUGCACAGUACAAGCCUACAAACAUUAAGUGCAGUAAAAUAGCAUAUAUAACGGUUAUGCAUAAAACCGGGGCUUGCCUUUAAUUUAACACUUAGAGAGUGUUUGCUGGGGAGGUACUCGCUUGGCGAGCAUCCACUGGUUAAGUCCAUCCUUCCUUGGGUCGUCCACCGACUGCAUCUUGUGGUUGGCACCACAUCACUAGCUCGAUCAUCAUCUCUCGGUCCUAUAUGAGGUGCAAGAUGCAUAUGUAUGAAUAUAAUGAAAGUACACAAGAUAUACAAAGACACAGUGGCGAACUAAACAUUAAAGUGGAAGACACCAUAGAUAACUACAUGUUAGCUUUAGUUAUCUACACGUCGUCGGCGUUCAACAUUAACACCAUUAAAAAGAUGACAACAUUUUAUUUAUUUACGCAACAUGACCACGACAUCACAAGUACACACAUUUACUACGCUCACCUUAAUCGUUCAUUUGUUCUUCUAUUGACCGUACAAGAGCAACCAACACAACGUAAGUUUAAAUAGGACCUAGGCAUUCAUGUCUAUGAACUCCUAUAUCACAAUCAAGUAGAGAAGAAACAUAUAAAACAGGACACUUAGGCAAUAUUAAGCUUAGUCAUGGCAAGUCUACAUUUAUUUAAGUGCUAACCAAACAUUUUUAGCCAAACGGGUGAACUAACAAUCAAAUGAGCACUAGCAGAAUUUUUGGACAGCAAUACAGCAGUUGCUUGUUUUAAUCAUAACUCUUCAAUUGUUAGUCCAAAAAUAUCAAGCUAGGACUUUCUGGAAAGCUUAAAAAGUGCUCUACAACUUUGGUAUUGUCAUCACAACCUGAUUAAACACUUAGCAAGGUCGAAUUGUGCAAACACAACAGCUCUGUCCAGAUUUGGACAGAUUCAGGCUUGCAACUUCAAAAAUUCACAACUGAAGAUUCAGACAUCCAAACAAAGUGAUUUUAGACUUUCUGGAAAGCUAAUUAAAUGUUCUACAAAUUAUUUAUAAACAUCACUGGCUGGUUUAACAUGUAUCUAGGGUGAAAUACACUAUGAAGGCUGUGCUGUCCAGAACUGGACAGAUUCAGUCUUCAGACUUUAAACAUCCAUAACUUAAUCUUCAGACCACCAAAAAUAGUGAUCCAAGACUUUUUGGAAAGCUUGGCAAUUGCACCACAUAACUUUUAUAAUCACCAAGAAGUGAUUCAAUGUUUAACUAAAUCAAACAACACAGUUUUCGAAAUCUGUCCUGACGGUGGACAGAACACAGCAAGCAGUUUGUAAAAUUCAUAACUCUUAAACUAUCAGGCAUGUGGUUGUGAAAUUUUAACACAAGCAAGAUCAGAAAAGCAACUACAACUUUCUUAUAACGACCAUGAACAGAUUGCAACAUUAAAUUGAGCAAACAAUGCAGUUUCUAAAAUCUGUAUAGAAUUUGGACAGAUUCAGUUACUGAAUUUGUGAACAGCAUAACUCCUAAACUGUCAGACCUAUGGCUGUCAAAUUUUAACACCAGCAAGAUAAUAAAGUUAUCUACCACUUUUCUAUAGCACAUAUCUACAGAAAACACAAUUUAGUUCAUCAAGCAUACAACACAACUACAACAGUGCGUGCAGUCCAAAACAGCAAUCAAUAAAUUUUAGCUCCUAUAUAAUUCAAGAAUCGCGGCGUUCGAGAGACUUGAAUUACUCUAACGCUUUACUAUUUAUUCGAGUUACGACAAUCAAUUAGAACCAACAAGUCGACUUGCAAAUUUUAUUCAAGUCAUUUAGUGCACUAAAAUUACUACAACCAACUAACAACACAUUCUCCACGAUAAUCACCCAACAAUUUGCGUUUUAAAUUAGACAUCACAUGAGCACUACUAUUUUUUACCCGCGACUGUAACCAUACACAUUUAGACCACAACAAGCAAUUUACCGUGAUUAUGAGCUUAAUCAAGUCAUCUAACAAGUUGACUAACCCAUUAUCAUCACAAUCCGAGACACAAUAUGUAUAUAACAAUCACUUAACGCAAUCGACUCCUACUUAACAUGAUUUGGCUAACACAAUAUAAACUUAGCAAACCAUUUUAGACAUUGUAACUCAAAAACAUGGGUUGGAGCAGAUUAAUCAUCUUUUCUUAACCAUUGCUCAACUUAAAUUGGUUAGCACACAAGUCACCUAAAAUAGCACAUUUUAGGGGGUCUAUUAUGUUGAGCAUCAAUUCUACAACAUAAUUGAUUCAACCUCUACCAUGCUUGACCGAACCUAUUGGCUAACAUUUCUUAAAUACCCUAUCCAUUCUUCACAUUUCAAUUCUUAUUGCAUGACAUAAACCAUUCCAACAUGCAUGGUUUGCUUACUUCUAAUUUGUCUCUAAUUCUUCCUAUUAUUAUAAAACGUGUGUCAUUUUAGCACCAUAUGAAACUAUCUAAUUUGGGGCUGAGAUUUUUUUUUUGAGACAUAGGUAAUAACAAAUCAUGACCAAUGUAUAAAUUUCACAUGCGCAGGUUUUCUAUUUUAUUUAAUACAAAAAUAACAAAUUGUUAAUGCAAUAAAGCUUGUGAGAGCAAGUUAAAUCUAAAACUAAUUAUUUUCUGUGGAUGCAUAACCAUAUUAAGUUUUCUCAGGCUACUAUAGUAUCAUGCAAGAACAGCGGAACGCCAUUUUUCAUUUUUGCAUCUAUACAUUAUUUUUAAAUCAUUUAAAACUACUUAAGGUGCAUUAAACAAGUUAAAUCACUAACCUAAUCAUACAUGCACAACAAUUCAUGAAAUUUUUACCCGUCACCAAACAUCACACCAAGAGUCUACUGUAAAAAUCUCAACCCAUUUGGAGCACUAGAGCUACAGAUCCAAAAAUAACAAGCAAAUACAUCUUCUUUUCUCUAUUUAACUUGUUUUAAUUAACACACCAAGAAAACAGUGAACAACAUAUAAGUUUUAUAUUUUUCUUAGAUGGAGUAUGACAACAUCUAACUAACAAAACAAGUUUGAUCAUUUUUGGAUUUUUUUAAUGAAA